AUAGACUCAAGAGCCAAGAUAUAUU
rnacentral:piRNA from 1 species